GAAAUAACUCUUAAACAAAAUAUAAUACGUUAAACAAUAAUGAAUAUAAUGAUAAAAUAAUAAGAGCAUUAAAAAAUAAUAAAUAGGAUAGGUCAUAGUUAACCUCUUCACACUUUUACCUUUCUUCUUGAACAUUUUAUGACUUGUAUUAAGUCUGGGAAAUCAUACACAUUUUGUUGUCUCCUGAUUGCAUGCUAUAUGUUAUUGUGGAGUGCAUCUACACUCAUAUGGAUGUAGUGCUUUAUUAAGCAUUUUGCAGUAAUGCUGUCUGGCCCAUCAGGUUAGUUUACUAUGUUCACAAGUGUGAUAUGCAUAAUCCAAUUUUUAUUUUGGGCUGAACAAUUGUUGGCCCAAAAAAAAUGUUUUGAAUCUCUUUCCUUCUUGACAACCACAUAUAAAGCAUCAAUGAUGGAAUCUGCCAUUCGGUCCUAUAUGCUUCAUGCCAAAAUGAGCAGUAGGCUUUGUUAUGAGUAUUCUUCUGGAUUGGGGCAUAUUUUAUUCCAUAUUUCUUCUGGAUUGGGGCAUAUUUUAUUCCAUAUUUCUUCUGGAUUAGGGCAUAUUUUAUUCCAUAUUAUUCAUCCAUAAGGAUCUACUUGUGUGCAUUUGUAACAGUGGGGGGAUGCAUCAUAGAAUUGCGAUUGUCCAAGGAAUGGGAUUGUGAUUGGAUUGAUA
rnacentral:lncRNA from 1 species